GGGGAAUAUUGCACAAUGGAGGAAACUCUGAUGCAGCAACGCCGCGUGAGUGAUGAAGGUCUUCGGAUUGUAAAACUCUGUCUUUUGGGACGAUAAUGACGGUACCAAAGGAGGAAGCCACGGCUAACUACGUGCCAGCAGCCGCGGUAAUACGUAGGUGGCGAGCGUUGUCCGGAUUUACUGGGCGUAAAGGGUGCGUAGGCGGAUGUUUAAGUGAGAUGUGAAAUACCCGGGCUUAACUUGGGGGCUGCAUUUCAAACUGGAUGUCUAGAGUGCAGGAGAGGAAAGCAGAAUUCCUAGUGUAGCGGUGAAAUGCGUAGAGAUUAGGAAGAAUACCAGUGGCGAAGGCGGCUUUCUGGACUGUAACUGACGCUGAGGCAUGAAAGCGUGGGGAGCAAAC
rnacentral:rRNA from 1 species